GGACGGCUUUCACACACACUGAUCUCUCAGAACUGAGCAUGUGGAGAGACGUUCGUUCAUCCAGGACAAAGGGAACCGGUUGCAGGAGAAACACUUACUCUGGUUUCUCAUUCUGUUUCCUUGUGCCGGUUUGAAGUGCCUGCCGUUUUCACUAUAAAACCGUGUUGGAGCUUAUACGUCCCUAUACAUAUGUAUGGAGAGGAGUUGUCAAGUGAAAGGAAACUUUGUGUUC